rnacentral:tRNA from 1 species
UUAGUCGAAACCAAAGAGGAGGUAUAUCACUGUUAAUGAUAAUAUUGAGCAAUCGCUCCGCCUAAG